rnacentral:rRNA from 1 species
UGGGGAAUAUUGCACAAUGGGCGCAAGCCUGAUGCAGCCAUGCCGCGUGUAUGAAGAAGGCCUUCGGGUUGUAAAGUACUUUCAGUCGGGAGGAAGGUGUCAAGGUUAAUAACCUUGGCAAUUGACGUUACCGACAGAAGAAGCACCGGCUAACUCCGUGCCAGCAGCCGCGGACAUACGGAGGGUGCAAGCGUUAAUCGGAAUUACUGGGCGUAAAGCGCACGCAGGCGGUUGAUUGAGUCAGAUGUGAAAUCCCCGGGCUUAACCCGGGAAUUGCAUCUGAUACUGGUCAGCUAGAGUCUUGUAGAGGGGGGUAGAAUUCCAUGUGUAGCGGUGAAAUGCGUAGAGAUGUGGAGGAAUACCGGUGGCGAAGGCGGCCCCCUGGACAAAGACUGACGCUCAGGUGCGAAAGCGUGGGGAGCAAACA